AACCGCGCGCCGGGUCCCGGUUCCCGGCGUCCGCCCGGUGGCCCCCGCCGGCUGCGGGCGCGCUCGGCCUGCUUCCCGUCCCCCCCCCCCCCCCUUCUCCUAACGCUCCGCGCGGGCCACUCGGGGGUGGUGCGGCGGCGACGGCGACUCCGGUCCGGGCUCCCUGACCUGUAACCUCCCGGGGACGCUGACGAGCAGCCGCGCUCAGCUCAAGAACCACCCCCUCCAAGUUGUCUUCCUGGAUUUACUCGGCACCAAAGUUAGCCUUCUCUUUCCUGGGGCCCGACAGCCUGGAAAGAGAAACGGUGGUGGUGGAUGAUUGCACCGAUCCCGAUUUGGAAGUUGUGUGGCAGGUGACUUAGGAGGAUAAGUGGAGCCCUGGGAUGGAGGCACCGACAUGUCUUCUGAACAAAGGGAGAGCGAAUAUGGCGGCGGCGACGGGAGCCACGUGCUGUAUUCCAACAGCCUGUGAAAAACUGAAUCCUUCGAAGAACGAUGUGUGUGAACUUGGAAGCAGAUGCUCUCGGUAGAGCCUUCAGAUGAGACUGCAACCCUGGCUGACACCUGAUUGCAGUGCUCGCGAGAGACCUUGAAGCAGAAGCCGCAGAGAAAUGAAGCAGAAUCUUCCUUGGGAUGGUAUCUGGUGAUCUUUCUGUUUCCACCGGUUGGCAGGAAAACAGAGACCCCCACCACUUGCUGAAUGACCUUGAACAACACAUCAUUGGAAGUCUCCCGGCCCUCAGUGUUUCCCUUCAGUAGAAUGUAGGCAAGAAUUAUUGCGACCCAGCACCCCGGAGAGAAACUCGGGAUGAGCCAGGGAGAGAAGGGUUGGGGUGCACUGACCAAUCCAUUCUGCACUAUCCUUUACAUGGAUGGACCCCCCAACCUGGCUGAGCAUCAGAAUCACAUGGGUGGCCUUUAAGAAUAGAAAUUCCUGGGCCUCGGCCAGCCCAGCUUAUUUCUACUCCUUUUCUCCAGCCGUGUGGCCCCUACCGUGAAGGGAACCCCUUCGAGUUGAGAAUUGAGGUGGUCCUUAAUUUCCCCAGUUAAAUAAAUCCUCUCCAGCUGGGCUCAAGGGCACCUUCUCAAUGAGCUGGGAAGCAGUGUCUCCUUU